rnacentral:rRNA from 1 species
UCGUAGGGUUAGUCGGGACCUAAGUCGAGUCCGAAAGGGGUAGACGAUGGCAAAUCGGUUAAUAUUCCGAUACCGACAUAUGAGCGUGAUGGGGGGACGUAUAGGGCUAAGACGAGGUCACUGAUGGAAUAGUGGCUCGAAGGGCGUAGGUUAGGAACCAGGCAAAUCCGGUUCCUUUUAAGCUGAAACCUUACAGGCAGAACAAUCUCUUCGGAGAGCGGUCUGAAUCGUCUGACGCCGUCGUACCGAGAAAAGCCUCUAAGCAUAUCAUAUGUCGCCCGUACCGUAAACCGACACAGGUGGGUGAGAUGAGUAUUCUAAGGCGCGUGGAAGAACCCUGGUUAAGGAACUCUGCAAACUAGCACCGUAACUUCGGAAUAAGGUGUGCCUACUUCGGUAGGCCGCAGCAAAGAGUCCCUCCCGA